rnacentral:rRNA from 1 species
CGGCAACAGCUCAAAUUUGAAAUCUGACUUCUUUGAGGUCCGAGUUGUAAUUUGUAGAGGAUGUUUCGGGCACCGCUUCAGUUUAAAUUUCUUGGAACAGAAUGUCAAAGAGGGUGAGAAUCCCGU